GAUGAAGAACGCAGUGAAAUGCGAUACGUAAUGUGAAUUGCAGAAUUCAGUGAAUCAUCGAGUCUUUGAACGCACAUUGCGCCCCCUGGUAUUCCGGGGGGCAUGCCUGUCCGAGCGUCAUUGCUGCCCUCAAGCACGGCUUGUGUGUUGGGCCUCCGUCCUCCUCCCGGGGGACGGGCCCGAAAGGCAGCGGCGGCACCGCGUCCGGUCCUCGAGCGUAUGGGGCUUCGUCACCCGCCCUUGUAGGCCCGGCCGGCGCUUGCCGACACAUCAAUCUUUUUUCCAGGUUGACCUCGGAUCAGGUAGGGAUACCCGCUGAACUUAAGCAUAUCAAUAAGCGGAGGA
rnacentral:misc_RNA from 1 species